rnacentral:rRNA from 1 species
UACGAAGGGGGCUAGCGUUGUUCGGAAUUACUGGGCGUAAAGCGCGCGUAGGCGGCGAUCCAUGUCAGGGGUGAAAUCCCGGGGCUCAACUCCGGAAUUGCCUUUGAAACGGGAUUGCUAGAGUCCGAGAGAGGAUGGCGGAAUUCCUAGUGUAGAGGUGAAAUUCGUAGAUAUUAGGAAGAACACCGGUGGCGAAGGCGGAUCUCUGGGCCGAUACUGACGCUGAGGAGCGAAAGCGUGGGGAGCGAACAGG